AGUACCAGUUUGAGUUGUACUGUAGUAUAUCCCAUAAUACAUCAUGACUUUAAGACGCGUUUUGAUUUGAUUCUCUACUCGCUUCGCGUUGAGACGUGAAAAGUUAUUACCUUGCUAUAAAUAUACCGUUACUGUUGCGUCCCUGUGGAAAAGGUCUCAUAAAUUCUCAUAAAAAAAAUUAGCUAUGAGAAAAUGAUGUGUAUUUGUCAUUGUAAAUCUUUAUAAUUUCUCAUAGAUUUUCACUCUUAUAGAAAUGACCUCAGAACUAAUUUUCCCUUUGAAUUCUCAUACAUCAUAUUUAGAAUUUAUGAGAAAUGAAGAUAAGUAUUUGUAACUAUGAGUACUUAUGAGAUCUAAAAAAACAUAUGACACGUGUCUCAAAGUUAUAAAAAUUUUACAAAAAUAUGGACACUUACCGAAUAAUUCACUUUCAUUUAAAGCUUAUACGCAUCUUAGGGACAAUUUAUUGACGUAGAAAUCGACUGAUUUUGGUACGAGCAAGAGAAUAGGUCCUUACAAAACGUGGUCUCUUGUUGGUACUGCUGAAUACAUGGCUCCAGAUUUAAUUUUAAAAGAAGGACACGAUAGGGCUGUAAAUUUUUGGGCAUUAGGAAUUCUCAUAUAUGAGUUAUUAAGAAGAAAACUGCCGUUUGAAGAUAAUAACAAGCUACGUCUCUACAAUAAAAUUAUUAAAGGUGGUAUCAAUGAUGUUAAAUUCCCGGAAUAUAUGAUACCGAAUGCCAUGGAUAUUAUUCGUAAACUAUUGACUGCUAAAUCCGUUGAACGAUUGGCACAUUUACGGAACGGUAUCAUGGAUAUACGGAAUCAUAAAUGGUUUAAACUGUUCGACUGGAAGUCAUUGAGGAAUAGAAGGAUGCGCUCGCCAGUUGAAUCAUAGCUAAAAAGCCACUUAGAUGUUAAAAAAUUCGAAAAAUUUCCGGCGGAACGUGAUUGCUAACAUUGAUUGAAUAUCUACUAAAAAUGGAAGCUUUUUUAAAUUGACAUUUAUAAGAUUGAAAAUUUUAAUAAAUAAUUAAUUUCAUGUUCCUUACGAUGUCAUCUAUGAUAGAAAACUCAACGAGAUCCCAAAAAAAAAUUUUAUUUCUCGACCAGACGCAUAAGGCAGAUAGAGAUGAAUGAAGAUCAUGAAGAGAGACGACUGUGUCUAUUGAUUUUGUCAUGAGUGGCCCAUAACUUUUUUUCUAUUAGGAAUAACUCCUUGCAAUAUAAACAUUUUACGUUCAUUACGAUAUCCUUCAGUAGAAAAAACGCCAAAAAGUCCUGGAAAAAAUCAUUCAUUGACUUAUGACGCCGGGACGGUGCAGGGAGAUCAGGGAGGAUGUCGUAUAUGUUUUUUUUUUUAAAAAGUAGCCCAUUGAAAUCUCUAAAUUAAAUAUAUAUGUAUAAAUUUAUUAUCCUUUUUCAUUUAUAAAAAAUAUAUUUACAAUCUAAUUAUAAGUAAAUCUAAACAAAAAACUUGUGAUAAUAAAACCAGACUUAAUACAAAAAAAAAAAUAAUGACAUUUUUAUGGAUAUAGAAACUUAUUAUUAUUCGUCGGUUCAGGACUCAGGCUAAAGCUAUUAGAUGACAGUGUUUCUUCUCUAAGUUUAAAAUGUGUUGCCUCUUUGUCUUUACCUCUGUCCUC